AGCAGCCGCGGUAAUUCCAGCUCCAAUAGCGUAUAUUAAAGUUGUUGCAGUUAAAAAGCUCGUAGUUGAAUUUCGGGAUCGAAUUGUUGGUCGUGCUUCGGUACGUACUGGCAUUAUUGGUUCCUACCUUCUGAAGAACCGCGAUGUCAUUAAUUUGGUGUCGUGGGGAAUCAGGACUGUUACUUUGAAAAAUUAGAGUGUUUAAAGCAGGCGCACGCUUGAAUACAUUAGCAUGGAAUAAUGAAAUAGGACGUUUGAUUCUAUUUUGUUGGUUUCUAGGAUCGACGUAAUGAUUAAUAGGGAUAGUUGGGGGCAUUAGUAUUCAAUUGUCAGAGGUGAAAUUCUUGGAUUUAUUGAAGACUAACUACUGCGAAAGCAUUUGCCAAGGAUGUUUUCAUUAAUCAAGAACGAAAGUUAGGGGAUCGAAGACGAUCAGAUACCGUCGUAGUCUUAACCAUAAACUAUGCCGACUAGGGAUCGGAUGAUGUAAUUUUUUAAUGACUCAUUCGGCGCCUUACG
rnacentral:rRNA from 1 species